CCUAGCAACUGAAAAAAAUGGGGGUUCUGUCUUCCUCCUAUCUUAUUUCAUCAUUUCACACUCAGCCUCGAAAGAGAGAGUCAAGGUCUCUUCAUUCUCAAACUAGGUUUGCCCCCUAGGAAUGUGUCGCCAAUCUCCUCCGACAACCACCACGCCGUCCGACUUGCUGGCCCGCUGCGUCACUGGCUACCGUUGCUACCACCCGGUCAGCCACUACAUGCCGCGACGACCUCGCCACACCGUCGGCCACCGCUUUCGUCUGGCCAGCCUUCGUGCCAUCGGGGCCAUAGCCGGCGACUCGCACACUGACCGCCGGCCACCGUACUGCGACAUUCAUCCUCCCAACGUCAGCGCCACCGCGACCACCAUCCUACGCCGCCUUCGAAACUCAUCGUCACAUCAUCACCGGCGACACCGACCUCCACCGAAACCCUCACGCGAAUCGUCUUUCCUCUUCCUCGAUGCAUGAAUCAAAAUUGAUGACAAGCCAUAGCAAUUGCGUCAAUCUCACUCGAAAUCCAUGCUAGCCAGACUUUGGUUUGCAACAUGUUAUGUUCUCUGUUUUCUUCUUUUGCCUAGGAUCAUGUAUGGUGGUGGUGGCGCAUUGAAACCGAUAGGAGUUCCCGUGGAUCACUAUUUGGGGGUUUGCAAUCUAGGGUGAUCUAGGGUAUGGGGGUUUCUGUACCGUUUCCCUUUGCAGGUUUAGAUAAAACAAUGGAGUGCAGCUGGCGUGGUAGCAGCCAGGAAAUGCAGCCCGUCGGCUAUCAGUGAUUCAAAGCGAAACUGGAGAUUGGGGAAAAUGAUUGAUGAUCACUAUGAAAAGACGAAUGGUGGUGGUUUACUCGAGAGGGCAAACUUCGAAUAAAAUGGCAUGAGACUUGUGAUUUGGUCUGUUUGUUUAAUAUAGGUGGAGGAUGAUCUUCAGAUGGAAAGCAGCCGUAACAGACACGCUUAUGGUACUUGCAGGCGUAAGAAGGAUGAAGGCAAAUGGUUUAUGGAUGACCGUGAGGUUUUCUCUUUAUCAAACGGUGAUGAUCAGUGAUAGUGGUGGUUCUUCUCUGAUGGUGAGGUCGAUAGUGAAGUGUUUGAAUAUGAAUGAUGGUUUCCCCGAGUGUUCUCUAUGUGCUCUUUUUUGUUAUCUUCUAUGAAAAACGUUCCCCCCCUCCCUUUGAAUGACUGUGAUCCAAACAUUUUGAAAACUACCGAGCUCCUUUUCUGCUGCACUGCUUCCCUCUGGCAUAUCCUCUGGUGUAGGAUUUCUUCCUUGUCUUUUUUCAUGUUUCAUGUUUUCAUUUUGCAGUUGGCAGAAACUGUUUUUAAGAAACUUUCUCCGUUGAUGUAUAUUGCAGUCUUACAUAGGAAAUUUAGGAAAAUUUAGGAAGAGGGACCAAGGACUUUUGUCACUCCCGCUGUGAAUAUACAUUUUAAGCAUUGCUGCCUUUAACGUUACAUGCAGGGUUGACUUCGAUUUA